rnacentral:rRNA from 1 species
GAACGACGCGUGGCCGGGCGGGCCUCAUACAUGACAAGUCGAGCGACGAAAGUCCGACAAGGAUGAGUAAAGCGGCGCACGGGUGAGUAACACGUGGGUAAUCUACCUUUGGAUUGGAAUAACCUGUCGAAAGACGGGCUAAUGCCGAGUAAGCCUUCUUGAACGUGAAGUUCGAGACGGGAAAGAUGGCGCAAGCUGUCGCCGAAAGAUGAGCCUGCGUCCCAUUAGUUAGUUGGUGGGGUAAUGGCUUACCAAGACAAUGAUGGGUACCUGGUUUGAGAGAAUGAUCAGGCACACUGGAACUGAAACACGGUCCAGACUCCUACGGGAGGCAGCAGUAGGGAAUAUUGCGCAAUGGACGAAAGUCUGACGCAGCCACGCCGCGUGAGUGAGGAAGGCCUUCGGGUUGUAAAGCUCUGUCGGCUGGGAAAAACGGCUAUCCGGGGAAAGUUCGGGUAGCGUGAUGGUACCAGCAAAGGAAGCACCGGCAAACUCUGUG